rnacentral:lncRNA from 1 species
UAAGACAAUAUCAAUAAUGAUAAAUGGUUAAAUCCAAAAAUGGAAUGUUUUUAUUGUUGUGCAUCAUUUUCAUGUCACCACAAAACAUCCAAGAAUGAGCAAUAUUACUCAUAUCUGGUAGUGAAUUUAAAUUGACCCCUUGCAUCGGUUGCAUUUGAUCAUGGUCCAGUUGGAAUUUUCCUCGAGUUCAGUAUUUUUGUGAUUUUACAUUUUUAGCUCUUCGUUCCAAAAACCGGAGAGCUUUAGCCUUCACUUGGCGUCCGUGAUCGAACGUCGUCAUCCAUCGUCUGCUCUAAAACGACCGAACCAAUUCCAACCAUACUUAAGCUGAACGAUCCUUAUAAUAUACAGAAUAAAGUUUGUGUUUUAUUUUUUGUUUCGUCAAAAACAUAGCCGGCAUGGCUAAGAAAAGAACAUAGG